UCGGAGAAGCUGACGAGUGGCGCACGGGUGAGUAACGCGUAUGCAACCUACCUAUAACAGGGAGAUAGCCCGGGGAAACCUGGAUUAAUACCCCAUAAUGUUCACUAUACACAUGUAUUAUGAAUUAAAGUUUCGACGGUUAUAGAUGGGCAUGCGUGCCAUUAGCUUGUUGGUAAGGUAACGGCUUACCAAGGCAUCGAUGGCUAGGGGGUCUUAAAGGAUGAUCCCCCACACUGGUACUGAGACACGGACCAGACUCC
rnacentral:rRNA from 1 species